rnacentral:rRNA from 1 species
CUCCUACGGGAGGCAGCAGUGAGGAAUAUUGGUCAAUGGUUGGGGGACUGAACCAGCCAAGCCGCGUGAGGGAGGAAGGUACAGAGUAUCGUAAACCUCUUUUGUCAGGGAACAAAGGCGGGGACGUGUCCCCGGAUGAGUGUACCUGAAGAAAAAGCAUCGGCUAACUCCGUGCCAGCAGCCGCGGUAAUACGGAGGAUGCGAGCGUUAUCCGGAUUUAUUGGGUUUAAAGGGUGCGCAGGCGGUCUGUUAAGUCAGCGGCCAAAGCCCGGGGCUCAACCCCGGCCCGCCGCUUAAACUGGCCG